UACGUAGGUGGCAAGCGUUGUCCGGAUUUACUGGGCGUAAAGAGCGCGCAGGCGGUCGUUCAAGUCGAGUGUGAAAGCCCCCGGCUCAACUGGGGAGGGUCACUCGAUACUGAUCGACUCGAAGGCAGAAGAGGGAAGCGGAAUUCUCGGUGUAGCGGUGAAAUGCGUAGAGAUCCGGAGGAACACCAGAGGCGAAGGCGGCCUACUGGGUCAGUACUGACGCUGAGGAGCGAAAGCGUGGGGAGCGAACAGG
rnacentral:rRNA from 1 species